AUUGAACGCUGGCGGCAUGCUUUACACAUGCAAGUCGAACGGUAACAGGUUAAGCUGACGAGUGGCGAACGGGUGAGUAAUGCAUCGGAACGUGCCCGGUCGUGGGGGAUAACGCAGCGAAAGCUGCGCUAAUACCGCAUACGAUCUGAGGAUGAAAGCGGGGGACCAUAAGGCCUCGCGCGAUCGGAGCGGCCGAUGUCAGAUUAGGUAGUUGGUGGGGUAAAGGCUCACCAAGCCAACGAUCUGUAGCUGGUCUGAGAGGACGACCAGCCACACUGGGACUGAGACACGGCCCAGACUCCUACGGGAGGCAGCAGUGGGAAUUUUGGACAAUGGGCGAAAGCCUGAUCCAGCAAUGCCGCGUGCAGGAAGAAGGCCUUCGGGUUGUAAACUGCUUUUGUACGGAGCGAAAAGGUCUCCUCUAAUACAGGGGGCUCAUGACGGUACCGUAAGAAUAAGCACCGGCUAACUACGUGCCAGCCGCCGCGGUAA
rnacentral:rRNA from 1 species